CUACGGGGGGCAGCAGUGGGGAAUAUUGCACAAUGGGCGAAAGCCUGAUGCAGCAACGCCGCGUGAGGGACGACGGCCUUCGGGUUGUAAACCUCUUUUAGCAGGGAAGAAGCGAAAGUGACGGUACCUGCAGAAAAAGCACCGGCUAACUACGUGCCAGCAGCCGCGGUAAUACGUAGGGUGCAAGCGUUGUCCGGAAUUAUUGGGCGUAAAGAGCUCGUAGGCGGUUGGUCGCGUCUGCUGUGAAAAUCCGAGGCUCAACCUCGGACCUGCAGUGGGUACGGGCAAACUAGAGUGCGGUAGGGGAGAUUGGAAUUCCUGGUGUAGCGGUGGAAUGCGCAGAUAUCAGGAGGAACACCAAUGGCGAAGGCAGAUCUCUGGGCCGUAACUGACGCUGAGGAGCGAAAGCGUGGGGAGCGAACAGGAUUAGAUACCCUAGUAGUC
rnacentral:rRNA from 1 species